rnacentral:lncRNA from 1 species
CUAGAAAAUAGUCAUUAGGAUGAAUUUAGCUAUAUUUUGAAAAUUCUAAAAAACUAGUCAUUAUUUUGUUAGAAUCUAUUGAGUUGGCUCAUCCAAGCUCUAAGUCAGCUAACCUUCAAUCUGUGCCAGCUAAGCAAAAUUCUGAGACAGCUCAAUAGUAGAUACCAAAAAUCCAAUAUUUUGUUUUGUUCUGCCUAUCUA